rnacentral:rRNA from 1 species
AUGUCAUGUAAAUAUCACUGGUAUGCUCGGGACCUAUACAAGGUGGAUCUAUCAUGGGGAAUCAAUGGAAGCUGUGGUACUGCCAAUGAUGAUGGUUAUGAAUCUGACGACUCUGAUGAUUUUAAGCUGUACAAUCAAUUUGUGUAUGAUGUGCUCGGAGCUCUCGUGGAUGACAUGGGCAGAACAUCUGGAAAUAAAGAAGAUGCAUCUGGUGGGUUGGACAUUUUUAAAAAUCUCAACAAAGAAGCGAUGAAACCCCUUGACGAGGGAUGUUGCACUAAGACACGGAUGAUGUUCAUUAUCAGGGUCCUUCAUAUCGAAACAUAUACCCGUAUGACCAACAGGAUAUUCAAUAUGUUUUUUCAGCUAUUGAGUCUUGCUUUGCCUAGGUGGAAUUUCGAAAAUCUUACGCUGAUGUUAAGAGAGUUCUUUCUGAUCUUGGUCCUCGUUAUCAAACAAUUCAUGUAUGCAAGUAUGACUACAUUUUGUAUUGGGGAGACCAUUCCAAUAGUACUCAUUGUCCCCACUAUGGUACAUCAAGGUGGAGACAUGUCGAUGGGAAGAAAAAGUUUCCUCACAAGAUGCUUCGAUACUUUCAAAUAA